rnacentral:rRNA from 1 species
AGCAGCCGCGGUAAUUCCAGCUCCAAUAGUGUAUAUUAAAGUUGUUGCAGUUAAAAAGCUCGUAGUUGAAUUUCGGGGUUAGUAGGUUGGUCAUGCCUCUGGUAUGUACUGGUCUCACUGAUUCCUCCUUCCUGAUGAACCUUAAUGCCAUUAAUUUGGUGUUUUGGGGAAUUUGGACUGUUACUUUGAAAAAAUUAGAGUGUUUAAAGCAAGCUAACGCUUGAAUACAUUAGCAUGGAAUAAUGAAAUAGGACGUUCGAUCCUAUUUUGUUGGUUUCUAGGAUUGACGUAAUGAUUAAUAGGGAUAGUUGGGGGCAUUAGUAUUCAAUUGUCAGAGGUGAAAUUCUUGGAUUUAUUGAAGACUAACUACUGCGAAAGCAUUUGCCAAGGAUGUUUUCAUUAAUCAAGAACGAAAGUUAGGGGAUCGAAGACGAUCAGAUACCGUCGUAGUCUUAACCAUAAACUAUGCCGACUAGGGAUCGGAUGAUGUAAUUUUUAAUGACUCAUUCGGCGCCUUACG